CCUACGGGAGGCAGCAGUGAGGAAUAUUGGUCAAUGGACGAGAGUCUGAACCAGCCAAGUAGCGUGAAGGAUGACUGCCCUAUGGGUUGUAAACUUCUUUUAUAUGGGAAUAAAAUGUUCCACGUGUGGGAUUUUGUAUGUACCAUAUGAAUAAGGAUCGGCUAACUCCGCACCAGCAGCCGCGGUAAUACGGAGGAUCCGAGCGUUAUCCGGAUUUAUUGGGUUUAAAGGAGCGUAGGUGGAUUGUUAAGUCAGUUGUGAAAGUUUGCGGCUCAACCGUAAAAUUGCAGUUGAAACUGGCAGUCUUGAGUACAGUAGAGGUGGGCGGAAUUCGUGGUGUAGCGGUGAAAUGCUUAGAUAUCACGAAGAACUCCGAUUGCGAAGGCAGUUCACUGGACUGCAACUGACACUGAGGCUCGAAAGUGUGGGUAUCAAACAGGAUUAGAUACCCGGGUAGUC
rnacentral:rRNA from 1 species